ensembl:lncRNA
AUUCUCUUCUAGUCUUUUGGGUCAGCCUGCCCUCAUGCCUUGAGGAUGUAUUUUCCUCUGCUUGCCAAAUAAAACAGCUGUAACAUGGAGCUGUAACACUGGUCCAUCUGUCACUUCAAAUUUUUGCUGCAGCAAGACAGAACCAAGGAAAUUACUCAAUUCCCCAACAUAUAUGGUGCUGUUUCUAGGAUUUAUCCUGGCUUAAACAAUCUCGGCUCAGCCCCCACAAGGCAGAAGCCGAGCACAGCAGAAGCCCAGCUCAGUGAAAGAUCCCAUGGUGGAAGCUGAACAUGAAGAAAACCCAGCGCAGGGAAAGUGACAAGAAGCCCACUAUGCUGGAAACUGGAACAACAAAAACAACUCAGUGGAAAGUUCACGCAGCUCAGUCUCAGAUUCCAGGAGGCCUCCGGUUAAGGUCAACAAGUUACAACAUGCAGUGCCAGUUCAACAAGGAUAUAUAAAACUACAGCCAACCACGGAAAAUAUCACUCACCCUAAGAUGGACAGCACUAUAAGGACUAUGGGCUUGAGACUACCAAGAGGGGGAGGCCCAAUGCCCCUUGCUGUCAAGUUCAGCAGGAAGUAGCCAGAGAGAUCUCAACACUCCUAUUCCCAAAGAAUUGGGCCUCCCAUCUCUUGAGUGGGGAAUGUCAGGUACUUAGAACAGGAAAAAGGAGUCCAAAAUGGCGGUGGCUAAAAGACAAAAAAAGGGAAAAGUCCACAAAAACAGAACAAAAGAAAAUCCAAGGACAGGAGUGAGAACCUCAGGUGAAACAAACAGUCCUCCUGGCUAGCCCAAUUUACACAGGGCAGACUCGGGGAGUAGGGAGACAAAUGUAUAAAAGGAGGAAGACAAGAGGAAUUGAGGCCUUUCCUUCGGGGUCAGCCUGCCCUCAUGCCUCAAGGGUAUACUAUUCUUUGCUUGCCAAACAAAACUCUGACUAGUAACUGAGCUAUUCCACUGGUCUGCCGUUUCAAAUCUUUGUUGCAGCGAGACAGAAUCAAGGAAAUUACACAUUCCCCCAACAAAUUGAAAUAAUAAAUAUAAAAUGAACUAUGAAGAUAAAAGUUUGCUAAACUAUCAUUUUAUUAAUAGCAAAGGAAAAUACAGUUUUGUAGAUUCCACAGGUGGGCAAAAUUUCUCCAUAAAAUUUCCUAAAUAUAUUCUACUAAGAACUUUAUGAAAAGAUAAAAGUUAUCUUUUUGAAAAGAUACCUAUUUCCUGUGUCUAUUUUCAGUAGCACAGGCAAAAAAAACAUGUUUCAAGAUACAACUCUUAGUGCCAAAGUGAUUACAAAACUGUUAAGACAGUAAUUUAGGGAGAGCCAAGGCCAGAAAAAUAUAUUAUUACUGUUAUAAUGAACAGAGAAAAGAAAGAUGUUGAAUAUAGCUUGAGAAAAAACUUCUGUUUCUCAUCUUUUUAAGAGUUCUUACAACUCAGGUAAUAAAAAUAUAAAACUUAUGGAUCCUUGUUGCAAAUAGUCCUCUGCCUACACUGAUAUUUGAUUUAAAGUGAUCAUGUUGUACUUGCUGGUUAAGAGGAUAUACCUGCCUUAUAAUGGGCUUAAAUAAUCUCUUUAAAGAUAUAUUUGCAAGCUAAGAUGAUGCUUAUUUUAUCUAAUAUACAGUGGACAUUUCUAAAAUUAACUACUUAGGAGGCCUUAUUAGCAAAGUAUGUUCCUGGCUUCCCUGUACUGAUAUGACAAUUAAAUCAUUGGCAGAGAACUGAAGGUUGCCUUUGAGACAAUAAGUUGGCAUAUGAUAUUGACCAAAAACAUGAUAUCUGCAGUUAGUCUAAAGUGGAACAAUUUGAUAAAAGCUUAUGUGGGGAAAAUUGAGAUUGAAACAUGUUUUCAUGCAGGCUAAGUUGCUUCAGUUGUGUCCAAAUCUUUGUGGCCCUUAUGGACUGUAGCCUGCCAGGCUCCUCUGUCCAUAGGAUUUCCAGGCAAGAAUAUUGGAGUGAGUUGCCAUGUACUUCUCCAGGGGAUCUUCCUGACCCAGGGAUUGAACCCAGGUCUCUUAUGUCUCCUGCAUGAGCAGGUGGGAUUUUUAUCACUAGCGCCACCUGGAAGCCCAUUUAAGGAAUCACUAUUUUGUUGAUUCUAUUUUCUAUGUAAAACUACAAAUAUGUGCAGAAAUAGAAUAAUUAAUCUCUGUACACUUAUCAUCCAGUAUGAAUACAUAUUCACUCAUGGCCAAUCCUACUUCAGAUACCCACUCCCUUCCCUAUCUUCUAUAUUAUUUUGAAGAACACCCCAGACAUCCUAUCAUCUGCAAAUAUUUCCUAUUAAUCUCUAGAAGUCAAAAAUCAAAACCAUGAUAACCACUAUCAUAUCUAAAAAUUAACAAUAAUGACUUAAUAUUAACAUGUAAAAUACCCAUUUAGUGUUAAAACUUUCAAUAGUUUUAUAAUUCUCACAGUUUUAAAUCUUUACUUAAAACAAGUACAAUAGAUUCGUCUUUUGUGUAGUUGCUAAGUUGUGUCUGACUCUUGGCAACCUCAUGGACUGUAGCCCAGCAGGCUCCUCUGUCCAUGAGAUUUCCCAAGCAAGAAUACUGGACUGAGUUGCC